GGUAGGGUGGCCGAGAGUGUAGGCGGCGGGUUGUAGCCCUGAAGACAGAGGUUUAAGUCCUCUCCCUAUCA
rnacentral:tRNA from 1 species